rnacentral:rRNA from 1 species
UACGUAGGGGGCAAGCGUUGUCCGGAUUUAUUGGGCGUAAAGAGCGUGUAGGCGGCCAUGCAGGUCCGUUGUGAAAACUCGAGCUCAACCUCGAGACGCCGAUGGAAACCGCAUGGCUAGAGUCCGGAAGAGGAGAGUGGAAUUCCUGGUGUAGCGGUGAAAUGCGUAGAGAUCGGGAAGAACGCCAAGGGCGAAGGCACUCUGCUAGGCCUGAUUUCGCGACUGACACUCAGGGACGAGAGCCAGGGGAGCGAAUGGG